GACGAACGCUGGCGGCGUGCCUAACACAUGCAAGUCGAGCGAAAAGACCAGGAGUUUGCGCGUCGGACGUGAGGGGAGGAGGGGAGAGAAACGUGUGGAAAACCUCCCUAUCAGACGGGGAUAAUCUCGGGAAACCGGCGCUUAUAGCGGAGAAGAUAUUGAACCGCAGGGGGCAAUAGUGAGAUUCGGUGGUGGGGGCAGUUAUAGAGGGAUCCGCGCCGGAUUAGCUAGUUGUGAAGGUAACGGCUUAUCAAGGCUACGAUGCGUAGCCGACCUGAGAGGGUGGUCGCCCACACUGGAGCUGAGACACGGUCCAGACUCCUACGGGAGGCAGCAGUAGCGAAUCUUCCGCAAUGGGCGAAAGCCUGACGGAGCAACGCCGCGUGAGUGAUGAAGGUCUUCGGAUCGUAAAACUCUGUUAUUAGUGAAGAACAAAUGUGUAAGUAACUAUGCACGUCUUGACGGUACCUGGUCAGAAAGCCCCGGCUAACUACGUG
rnacentral:rRNA from 1 species